UCAGCUCAUUCAUGAGUCUAUACCAAUUCCUUACAUGAUACAUGAGUACACUUACUUAGGAUUACAUGAUACAUGAAUAUGUUUACAUAUACUUACCUGUUACAUGAACACACUUACAUGAAUACCAUACAGGAACACUUUUACAUAGGUGCAUUAUCCUGUAUUUACUUACCUGGAUACUUGUACUUAGAACUACGAGGAUGAUUUAUUAGUACUUACUGUGUAAAUUAUCUUUCCUAUCCCGGUUCAAUGGGAUAUCUCGGCGGGACUUACCAUUCCGAACCCCACUGAUUAGCACCAGUGGUCGAUGAAUGUCUACGGAUGUCUAAGGUUGUUACUUAUUUAGUAGUCAGUGACGGGACUAACCAUCCCUCUGUCCAACUGUUGCAACAGUGGAUGAGAUGUGAAUCUUCGGAGGAUCAUUAGGUUAACGAUCUGUAUUAAGAGAUCGAUAUCGGGACUAACCCUCCCUCCACCCUGCUGCCGCUACAGAGGAUGAGGGGACACUCUUCGGAUGUCCAUAGGGUCUAUCUUUCGCUUCGGCGAUGUCGUGUUUGUCCUGGUAACCCAAGAUAAUAACACUUACAUGAUUAUAUUUUUCCUGUUUACUUUAUUUUGUGAUACUUUCACAUAAACGAGGAGUUAGACUAAGUACUCUAGUACUAGUCAAUAGAAAGGAAAAGCUAUCAUAUUACUUACAAAACAUUCGGGUCUUGGUAGAAGACUACAUAGUCAUAACAAAACAUUCGGGUCUUGGUAGAAGACUACAUUGUCAUAACAAAACAUUCGGGUCUUGGUAGAAGACUACAUUUUAUACUUAUAGAAAAUAAGGGAUUUUCUAGGGUUUUUCAUACUUACAUCAACAUUUUCAUUUAAAGGUUUACAUGGCCUUCAUAAUAGAUUUUCAUAAGCAAGACAAUGACACUUAAUUACUUAUGAAUUCACCAGCUUUAAAGCUGAUACUCUCUUUCAAAAUAACUUGUAUUCUCAGGUCAACAGUAGACAGGUACGAUGGCCAGGUUUUGAGAAGACGGAGCAGACAAGUCUCGUCUUUUAUUUUGAUUGUAUAUUUUUGGUGUCUUACUACAAUGAAAGAACACACAUGUAUUAAAACUCUACUUAUAAUGCAAUGGAUGAUGUUGUUGCUUGUUUAUUAUAUUACACUGUUGUGAUACUGUACAUGACGUCCUCCACCCCUGAACGUUUCCGCCGUUCGUGGUUUUGGGGUGUGACAGAUUGGUAUCAGAGCAUUGUUUAUAGUGAAUGAAUUAUAUCAACCCAUAAAAGAUAUACUAACUAUAAACACAUUGGGAUUAAAACACUCUGUCAAUGAGUUUAUACUUAUAAAUAAUAAAACAUUUAACAAAGUAUACGUGCCUGCAUUCAUACUAAAAUUAGUGUCACAAUGACAAGAACAAAAGUAUUACGAUUGUUUUAUAUCACAGGUAAGCUCGGGGAUGUAUGGUCAGCCUUGGGGGUGGCAUAGCCUGAUCAACUAUGCUGUUCCAAAGAGUGAUUAGCACAUGCCCAAGAAUGGUUGUGAUAUGGCAACAAGUCUAAAAACUUACCAACAUUACCACAAUGAGAACGUUAUAAUAGAACCUAAGUCUAAAAAUACUAUAGGGGUACUUUGUGUUACUAUAAGUACUUUAUACUUGAGAAUUAAAAUGGAAUCUUCAUUCCUAAGUUGAUAAUUGCUAAGUGGAUACACUAAACUUAUAUGUAACUAGGAUGUUAUAGACUUAGUAUCAAUGAAAAUUUUGCUUUACCCCUAUUCCUUGUGAAUUUGGAGUUAAGGUCACUUAUUCGAAGGCCUAUCCUGUGUUGAUUACAUAUAACUGGUAUGCACUUUACAAAUAGCGAUGGAACUAAUGAAGAUUUCCUAAAUAAUUAUCAAGAUAGUUUGUCUAAUAAUUAUUUUCUUACCUUAAUUCUCGCGUAUAUAACAUGGUUGGAUUCCAUCCUCACGACAACCUGUUCCUUCCGAACGAAGUGAUUGCUGGAUGGUUUGGAGAAGAACCAGAUGAUGAUCAUCCAAUCCCUCUGAAUGAUCACCAUGUUGACAACCUUUCAGACGAUGCUAUCUCCGAACCCGGGGUUGAGAACCUACCCCAGGCAGCUCCCUUCCCGAUUCCUAACCCUCGUCCGACUUUUCAUGGCACGACGCCUGAGUGGGUGGAAUGUUUGGAAACAUGGAGCCAAGGACAAGAUCAGCCCAUGCCAUUUAAUGGUGACCGAAACUUCUAUGACCUGAGCAAUGGGGGCUAAGCAGACAGAAUCAUGCCAAUUCUGAUCCGAAGAGUUGCCCGAAACGAAAUUCAGGGCAGGACAGCUCUACAACGUUUCGUAGAAGUUGAUACAAACGGACGAAUGCAUAUGCUUCGCACCAGUCGCCUCGAACAUGCUCGUGAGAGGUCUGAGAGAGACCAUGAAACCCUGCUACAAGCACUGGCUGAAUCACGAGCCGAAGUCAUAGAACUUCGAGUAUGCCAGAGAGUGUACGAAAGACACCUACUUGACGUGGAACGCCAACUGGCUGAACUGAGAGUUCACCAGAGUGAUGACCGUCGCCAGUAGUGGAUGCUUUACUUUAUAUUCCUUGUUAGAAAGGAAUCUUGUUCCUGUCUAUGCCCAAUGUGGCAUUUUCUAUGAAACUAUCUUGUACUGUAAGUACUUUAGUUAGGACUUUAUGCUGUCAAGAACUAUCUUCGCUGGAUAUGAUGUAAGGCCUUUUUACAAGGUCAUUUUCCCGAACCUAUACGUCAUGAAUACCAAAGAUAAUGACAGUCGGCUAACUCCUGUGUCAUCCUUUAUUCAAAGACUCUUAUCAUACUUUCAUUAGAGUCUAUCUGAAACAUGCUUUAGUCAAGUCAUUAGACUAUAGCAAUUUAACUCCGGAGACAUCUUCGAGUCUCUUUUAACGGUUGGAUCAUGUUAUACGCCAACCAGCGACAUCUCAACUAGAACAACAAACAUCUUGAGACCAUUGUAAGAACAUACUUCCAUUCAGUACUAGGACUGCAUCAUAGGGAUGUAGGUCGAACUUUAGAGAACAUACUUCUAUUCUUUGCAUGAGCGAUCGAGCUACGACUAGUUUCAACCAUCUUCGCUCACAAAUUCAUUUUCUUUCAGUAACAGAAUCAUGGAUCCCAAGAAGAACGAUCAGCCCAUCAACCGAACACCAACUCUUCAGAUUGAUGCAGCUACCUUUCAAGCUGUAGUCUCGGCUGCCAUGUCAGCUUUUUUUACCCACAUGAACGCUAACAACGCAAGUGUUAGCGGGUUUGUUAAUGACAACUCCAACCCAAGUAACAAUCCAGUACCUCAACAAGAAACAAACUACCACGAUACCCCAAGUCCUAAGACCAAGAGUAUCAAACGAAAGACUUGGAUUAACUCUAAGAACAAUUCGCUUCGAAGGGCGAACAGGAAACAACCACCAGUAACAACCUUCACUGCCACGACAUCAGCACCUCCAACUACCAUCCCUUCAGGCAUCGAAAUAGUUCCUAAACCAGCCAAGCUUUAUGCUGGAAGUCUCCCAAAAUGCAUUAUAUGUAGUUUUCACCACCAUGGACUUUGUAGGGAGAUACAGUGUUCACACUGCAACAGGAAGGGGCAUACAGCCCGUUAGUGCAAGACUCCAACAGCUCAGGACGCUCAAGUGCCGAACACCAGUGGGAACCAGGUUUGCUACGGUUGUGGCAAAGUAGGUCACUACAAAAGGAACUGCCCAGGGGCAACAAUUGCUGGCCCAGACGAAAGUCUACUACCAACCACCGCCGCGGGAGAGUCUACUCCGGACCCACGUUAAUGUAAUUUAGGCGUUUCGUUGUAACAGAAUUAUGAACCAUCCCAAAACUAGCGCAACCAUAGUCUUAUCUUUUGCGGGACCCCGUCCGUUUAGGGAUGCUCGUGCUGCGUAUACUUACCUUUUGUAGUAUACCUUGUUCGCAGCAAUAGUCUUGUAGUAAAUCCUAAGUACAGUAACUCUGUUAAUGGUUGCACUAUUGUGUUUUUUGUCUGUAACGCCUUAAGUUCAAAUCUAAAGUCUUUAGUUUCCAUAUGUUUCCGACUUUAUCAUAUGACUCGAGUAAAUUCGAUCCUCGCAAUACCAGCUUCAUAAGUACAUCUCUUUCUCAGUAAAUGUCUUUUAGCGAAGUCGUCAUAUGAGGACAUCGACGUACUCAUACAAGGAGUACCUUAUAGUUGUUUUCCUUUCCGAAGGAAUCCCCACAAUAUUACUCAUACAGUACGUCAAGUUCAAUUCCAGGAUUUAUACGGUUGAUCUAUCACUGAAGAAUGUAUACAUGAGAGUGAUAUAUAAUCAAUGUUCUACAGGUUUAGAAUUGAUGAUUCCACUUUAACUUCUUUUCCCUCGAAGGGAUGUGAGAUUAAGGAAGAAUCAGUUAUUCGACUACCUUUUCAGUCUUAAUUAUAUACGACUUGGAUACACAAAAUUGUGAUCCCUGAUUCACGUAUGAAUUCUAAUAUGAACUUUAGGACGGAGAUUGUCCAGGAGUACGAGUAAUUGCAUUGGCAUAGGAACCAACUUAGAACCCAAUAUGACUCUUAGAACCAGAUCGCCUUCAGUCUACACACCUACGGAAGAUACAAGAACAACCCGUACAACACAGCGAACUACUCAACAAUAGAAUUAGAAGACCAGGAUUCUCACCCAUGAGAUCUCCGGUCUUAUUUUUACCAGAAGUCGACGGAGUGCAUCAUAUGUACCUCAACGACCAGAGACUUCAUUUAGAUUUCCUUUAGAAAUCGUUACCUCUGCCUCGCUUAGAAGAGCUAAUUGAGCAACCAGUGGGAAAGUGUUACUUUCAGAAAUGGACCUGAGAUCCGAAUAUCACCAGUUCGAGUGUAGGGAAGGAUGUCCUAAAGACUACCCUCCGAAUUCAAUACGGACACUUCGAGUCCGUAGUGAUAACCCUCGGAUAGGACCAAUACGCCCAUAGCAUUCCUGAGCUAAAUGACCGGAGUACGCCUUUCUUACUGGGAUCAGUUCGUCAUUUCUCCACAAAAUGACUACUUAUCUACCCUCGUAGUAAGAAAGAACGCAUAGAAACAUUACCCUCGGAGAUACUUUUCGCAAAGUUCUCUAAACAAGAGUUUUGGAAUUUAGAGGCAAAUUUCCUGAGACACACUAUUAGUGUUGUGGAAAUUCUUGAGUACUCUGUCAAAUUAUCCAAAAUCGUUGGAAUUUGUCGGCACCGUAGUCACCGAAGGAAAAUUCGUCAAAUUCUAGUUCUUAAAGACCUACUAUCAUAGUCCAUUAGAAACUCCCCGCAAACUUCAGGAACCCUUUCGACUUUGACCCAGCAAGGGAUGGCCCUUGACUGGGAAGUUAAGCGAGAGAAAGAACAUUUGAAAUUCUUAGUGAGGGACCAAAUUCUUUAGGAAUCCUCACUCUAAGAACGGCUUAAUACGCUUCGUAAAGCAUGGAAAGCUAAAUCCAAUGUAGUUGGGACCUCCGGGAUUCUUACCAGAAUCGGUCCUGCAUCUCACAAACUAGUCCUGCUCCGCGAACUCAAUAACGAACAUGUUGCCCCUCGCGCCUCGAACUUGAAGCAGUAUCUUCCCGUUAGGACUUUCGUAAGCCCUCUCGACGAGAUCGAGAUUUACGAGAUCCUUGACUCCGUAUUAGAACCGUAGUGACCCUCGACCGAGAGGUCAAGCGGACGAAGCAACGCCGUUGCCCAUUAGUGAAGGUUCGUUGGGAUACCAACCGAGAACCCGAUUUCACUUAGGAGCGCUAGAACCAAUAGAUUUGGAAGUUUUUCCUCCUCACGACUCGAUCAUUCCUACAUACUUCCUUGCCUAAAUUCUAAUUUCGGGACGAAAUUCCCUUUAACAGGGGGAUGAUGUGACAAUUCGAAAUUUCCAUUCUGUAUAGACUAUAUCACUUCAAUAGAAGUUAUAGCAGUCACAGUUAAUUUUCAGACUUUCUCGUGUAAGUUUGAGUAAUUCAGGGUUUACACUUCAUGAGAUAUCAGGAGAGUGGAUGCACUAGGGUUUAGUGCAACUCUAUUAUUCCAUCACUCUAUUAUAUUAGAGGUCAUUUCAGGAAUAAAAAUAUUUUCUACCAAAAAUAUCUCAGGACUAUAAAUAGAAUUCUGAACCAAAUUCAUUCAUUAUUUGCAUUUCCAACUAGAGAAAAGCCAUUUUCUCUCUCACGGAUCUUCGGGUUUUUAUCCCAGAUCGUGAGUACCUCUUUCCAGUAGUGUUAGAAAGCUUUAUAUGUGUUAAUAACAUGAUUUAGAAGGCUAAAUCACUAGAUUUAGGAGUUUACUCCCCAAGGUGUUCUUGGGCGGUAAACUCCCGAAACAAAGCCGAGACCAACCCUUGUGUUAUGCUACUGCCUCAGACUCAUUUAUAAGUGUGUUAGGGACAUGAAAUCAAGCAAAGAUCACCCAAGUUUGGGAGUUUACGGCCCAAGAAUAUCUUAGGCCGUGAACUCCAAUUUCAAGCUCAAAAUGGUGCUUUUAAGGAAACUAAAGCCUUAGACUUCUAAACUAGACUUGUUCCCAUUUAAUCUAAGGCCUUAAACACAUAAGAAUCACAUUUCAAAGUGAGUUUACGGCCAUGACAUGGUUCAUGGGCCGUAAACUCAUUAAAGGGGCACCAAAGUGUGUCAAUGGUCUUCAUAUGCUUGGAAUAAAAGUCUAGAACCUAUACCACAUGUGCAACAGACUUGAAAGCAUCAAAAACACACCAUACUUAGAGUUUACGGCCAUAAACUCUAAGGGGAAUGGCCUUAGGGCCGUAAACUCCUAAAUGGAGUGUUUCUAGACCUUAAACCCUCCCAAGGACUUAGCCACCAAGUUGGAAUAAUUCUAGGAAUCAUUAGGAACUUCAAAACACACAAAACCCCCAUGGUUGGUAGUUUACGGCCAUAAACUCAAGAGUUUACAACCGUAAACUCCAUGUGUGAUGGUAUAAGGGGAGUAAACUCACAUAUAGGGUCCUUUGGAACCCUAAAACACAAGUGCCUUGUCCCACAUUAGCUUAGAUGCAAUCCUUAGGGCCUAAAACACUUAUAUAAAGUGUUUAAUUUUGUCUAGGAUAUCUUAACAUUAUCAAUUAGUGAUUUAAGUCUAAUUGAAUGCAUAUAUGUGUGAUUAUAUGUUCAUUAGGAUCGUAGUGUGUGGACAAGUCCUCGCUUCACACCUAGCAAUGUUAUACCGUCAGUUCAUCCCAAUCACCUAGUACAGGUGAGUUCAUACCCCUUAAUCAAUGUUUUAAAUGAUUUUAAACAUUUUAAUGGGGGGGGAUACAAGUAGAAAACAGUAUGUUAUUAAAUCAAUCUUAUGUAUUUUGUAACUGUGUUUUCACUCAGUAGAUUUCACAUAUUUCAAAAGGUGACACAUGAAGUGGUUUUCUAUCUUAAAAUACCUUAAUAACAAAAGUAUUAGUUUUGAAAUGUUUAUUAAAAUGACAUCAAGUCAUUCUUAAUUAUUGUUCAAAACUCCUAGAUAUCUUACAAAACCAUUAUUUUACCUUCUUGGAUCAAACUAUACCUAUGCGCAUAUGUUCAUAUAUAUGUUAGAGAUUAUAGUUUUCACCCUUCAUUUACUUGCCAAUACUCUUGGGUAGCAAGAGUGCAUAAACCUACGUAAACAACCAAUUUCCUUUCAGUUAACUAUCAUAGGGAUAGUUAAAAGAUAUCAAACAUUAUUACUACUACAAGGAAUCACACAAGAGUCAGUUCAUUCAUGAGUCUAUACCAAUACCUUACAUGAUACAUGAGUACACUUACUUAGGAUUACAUGAUACAUGAAUAUGUUUACAUACACUUACCUGUUACAUGAACACACUUACGUGAAUACCAUACAGGAACACUUUUACAUAGGUGCAUUAUCCUGUAUUUAUUUGCUUGGAUACUUGUACUUAGAACUACGAGGAUGAUUUAUUAGUACUUUCUGUGUAAAUUAUCUUUCCUAUCC
rnacentral:lncRNA from 1 species